UAGCUGUGCUACUGGGGUUCUGUUUCUCGUCAUUUUGCCCUUGUGCAAACAGGCUGGCGGUGUCCCCUGUCCCUCGGCUUUGGCGGUUUUCAUCUUCUCUCUAAAUUUACAGUAAGUGGAGAUGAAUCAAAGCUACCAGAAUACUGCACCGCCGGAUUUGGCUCAUCUGCAAGCCACCAUGCGUACUAUCGAGCUCGCCUGCAGUUCCAUACAGAUGCAUGUCAAUCCAUCGGCAGCUGAGGCAACUAUUUUGUCAUUAAGCCAAUCUCCUCAACCAUAUCAGGCAUGCCAAUUUAUCCUCGAAAAUUCUCAGAUGCCAAAUGCAAGGUUUCAGGCAGCUGGAGCGAUUCGGGAUGCAGCUAUCAGAGAAUGGGGUUUCCUAUCAACUGAUGAUAAGAAAGGACUGAUAAGCUUUUGUCUGUGCUUUGUAAUGCAACAUGCCAGUUCAGCUGAAGGCUAUGUCCAAGCAAAAGUUGCCUCUGUGGCUGCACAAUUGUUGAAGAGGGGUUGGCUAGAAUUCACAGCUGCUGACAAGGGAACUUUUUUUUCUCAGGUCAAUCAGGCUGUUGCUGGAAGCCAUGGUCUUGAUAUGCAGUUUGCUGGAAUAAUUUUUCUGGAAUCCUUGGUUUCUGAGUUUUCACCCUCUACCUCAACUGCUAUGGGCCUUCCCAAAGAGUUUCACGAUCAGUGUCAAACAUCUUUGGAGCUGGAUUAUUUGAAGGUCUUCUGAUUGCAUAGAGCUUAUAUGGCUGGGCUCAAGAUGCUGCUUCAAGUGUCACAAAUAGAAUAAUUGCAUCUGACUCUGCCAUACCUGAAGCAAAGGUGUGUUCUGCAGCACUCCGUCUUAUGCUUCAAAUCUUGAACUGGGAUUUCCGGUGCAGCAAAAGUACAGUUGAGAUUGGCAGGAGAGGCAUGGGCGUGUUAGGAGUCAAGAAUGACAGCUAUUCUGCCAGAAAAACUGAAUGUAAUUUAGUGCAGCCUGGUCCAUCUUGGUGUGAUGUGCUCAUAACAAGUGGUCAUGUUGGAUGGCUUUUGAGACUAUAUGGUGCUUUGCGUCAGAAAUUCUCAUGUAAAGGUUAUUGGCUCGAUUGUCCUCUUGCUGUUUCAGCUAGGAAACUCAUAGUACAAUUCUGCUCCUUGACAGGCAACAUAUUUCCAGCUGAUAAUGGGCACAUGCAAGGUCAGCACUUGCUCCAACUGCUCUCUGGGGUUGUAGAAUGGAUAGACCCUCCUGAUGCGGUUGCAAAAUCCAUUCAAAAUGGAAAAAGUGACAGUGAGUUGCUUGAUGGAUGUCGCGCACUUCUAUCUAUGGCAGCUGUAACUUCUCCACUGAUGUUUGACCAACUCUUAAAACCUAUAAGGCCUUAUGGAACUCUUCAUCUUCUGUAUGCUUUGAUGAGUGAGGUCGUUAAAGACAUUAUGGAAAAUCACACUGAAGAAGAAACAUGGAGUUGGGUCGCACGUGAUGUCUUGCUAGAUACCUGGACAACUAUUCUGAUGCUAUUGGAUAGUACUAGUCGUGAUGCUUUGCUUCCGUCAGAAGGGAUCAGUGCCGCUGCCAAUCUUUUUGCCUUGAUUGUAGAGUCUGAGUUAAAGGCUGCCUCUGCAUCUGCCUUCAGUGAUGACAAUGAUGCCGAUUACUUUCAGGCUUCCAUUACUGCUAUGGAUGAAAGACUAAGCUCCUACGCUCUUGUUGCUCGAGCAGCUCUAGAUGCAACACUUCCUUUGCUAGUGAGACUUUUUUCUGAGCGUUUUGCAAGGCUUCAUCAGAGGCAUUUGUGAUCCAACUCAGAUAUUGGAAGAGCUUUACUCACUUUUACUGAUAACCGGGCAUGUUCUGGCUGAUGAAUGGCAGGGUGAAACACCAUUGGUUCCAAUGGCUAUACAAACCCAAUUUAUGGAUGUGGUGGAAUCAGAAAAUCAUCCAGUUGUUGUACUUUCUGGAUCGAUUAUAAGGUUCUUGGAACAAAGUUUAGAUGCAGAGAUGAGAACAUCAUUCUUCAGUCCUCGGCUUAUGGAGGCAGUCAUUUGGUUCCUGGCAAGAUGGUCCUGUACUUAUUUGAUGCCUCAUGAAGAAAGUAAAGGAAAUAACCUCACCAUUGAUAAUUUCAAGGAAAGACAACCUGAGUCAGAACUGUCCAAGAAAAUGUUGUUUAGUGUUUUUGGAGACAAUGAUCAGGGAAAAUUUGUUCUUGAUGUGAUUGUUCGCAUUGCAACUGUCACACUUGUCUCUUAUCCUGGAGAAAAGAAUUUACAGGAACUUACCUGUAACCAGUUGCUUCACGGACUUGCUCGACGAAAAAAUGUUCGUGUACACCUUCUUAAUUUGGAUUCCUGGCGCAAUUUAGCAAAUGCUUUUACUAAUGAGAGAAUUCUGUUAUCGCUGAAUCCUGUUCAUCAGCGUUCACUGGCUCAAACCCUUGCUCUCUCAGCAUCUGGAAUGAGAAAUUCUGAGGAGUCAAACCAAUUUAUAAGAAAUGUAGCAAGCCACAUGACAACUUAUCUACUGCAACUCUCAGUAAAAGAUGAUCUGAAAAAGGUUGCCCAACAGCCAGAUAUUAUUUUGCUGGUGAGUUGUUUGUUGGAGCGGCUUCGUGGGGUUGCCAGUGCUUCCGAACCUCGUAUUCAGAAGGCCAUUUAUGAGAUGGGUUUCUCUGUGCUGAACCCAAUCUUGAUUUUUCUUGAUAUUUACAAACAUGAGGUACUAAUUUUUUCAGUUCAUGCACCAUGCUGAAUUUCAAAUGACAAGCCUUUUUUUGUGAAAGUUGCGUUAUCCCAUUUUUACAGGGAAGGCUAUAGGUUUGUUAGUGGUAGACAGUCUUCCUUCUUGGAGAUGUUAGAUUGUGUACAUUGAUAACUUUCCCAAUUAUGCAAGUGGUGAAAGCCUCCUGCAUUGCAUUUGCCCAUUGUUUUCAUUCUAAUAAAUAUUUACUCUGGAGAUCAUUGUGCAAUUGGCGAUCUUUCAGGUAAUAAUUAUAGAAAGGGGUUUGACUACUGAAAAAUAAGGAUGCAAAGCCACUGGUAAACUUAGAGAUAAUAAAGAUAGAAGAUGUUAAGGUUCCAAACUCAAAUUAUUGGUUUUUUAUGGGCUUUUGACGAUUGAAACUAAAGCUUAUUAGACUCAUGGUUGCUUUUUGUUUGCAGAGGUUAGUUUGCUGAAAUAAUUCAAUGAAGUGUCAGUUUUCCUUUCUCUACCUUUUCUUCAGCUGAUUAUUUGAAAGUAAUUGACAAAAACAGAUGCUUUUGUUAUUGUGAUUCUGAAAUCCCUAUAGCUUUUUCAUAAAACACUUCAGGAUCAGCUAUUUGCAGUUUAUAAAAAGCUGAAAUAGAAGUCUGAAAGGCAACAACAGCACCUUACAGCUUUUAGCUCAAGCCAUAAUUUGCUAAUCUUAAGCAACCAAGAAGAGGCUCUGUAAUAUGCAAAUUGAUUCCCUGGUCUUUUUUUGACUGCUUUGCAUAACUUAAAAAGUAUUUAACUUUUUAGUUAGGUUUCAGCCUAGGGUGACUGAAAUUACAAUUGCUGAUUCUUUUUUCUUAGUCUGUAGUUGUCUAUCUUCUACUCAAAUUUGUUGUGGAUUGGGUGGAUGGCCAAAUUAUCUACCUAGAGGCACAUGAAACUGCAACUGUUAUUGAUUUCUCUAUGCGCUUGCUCCAGAGUUAUUCUUCUCACAAUAUUGGCAAGAUUUCAGUUAGUGUUUCAAGCAGCUUAAGGAGUGAAGAAGAUACUGAGAAAUACAAGGAUUUGCGAGCCCUUCUACAACUACUAGCAAGUCUUUGUACUAAGGACAUGGUUGAUUUCUCAUCAGAACCCGUCGAGUCUCAUGGUACAAGCAUUUCUAAGGUAGUCUAUAUGGGUCUUCACAUAGUUACCCCUCUGAUUACCCUGGAACUGUUGAAAUAUCCCAAGCUUUGUCAUGAUUAUUUCUCUCUUCUGUCACACUUGUUGGAGGUUUAUCCUGAAAUGGUCAUGCAAUUGAACAAUGAAGCCUUUAUACAUAUUGUUGGAACUCUUGAUUUUGGUCUUCAUCAUCAGGACUCAGAAGUAGUUGAUUUGUGUCUAAGAGCUCUGAAGGCACUUUCAUCCUAUCAUUACAAGGAAACUGGAGCUGGUAAAUCUGGGUUAGGCUCAUAUGCAUCAGGUUAUGAGGACCUUGCUGGAAAUAGUCAAGAAGGAAUUCUUGGACGGUUCCUCCACUCAUUGCUGCAAUUUCUCGUUUUUGGGGAUUACAGCAACGAUCUUGUCAGUGCUGCUGCAGAUGCUCUUCUGCCGCUGAUCCUGUGUGAACAAAGUAUCUACCAGAGAUUGGCUAACGAGUUAAUUGAAAGUCAGGGGAACCCCGCAUUUAGGUCAAGGUUGGCAAAUGCUUUUCAAUUCCUUACAAGCGCGAACAACCUGUCGUCCACACUUGACCGCAGAAAUUACCAAAAGUUCAGAAAAAAUCUACAGAGUUUUCUGGUGGAAGUUCGUGGAUUUCUUCGUACUAUUUGAUACAUGCAAUUCAUCUGUUCAAUAACUGCCCCGGGUGCUCGCCCGUGUGUUUUCGCUUUUCCAAGCAUUUACAGUGCUGUUUUUGCUGUGGGUUAAUUAGGUGCAUCUAUGUCACGUGGUGUACAGUUUUACCCUUGGUUGGGGAAAUUUUGGAGAGAACAUGUUUGUACAUUUAGAUACAGCUUGGAUAAAAUGUUUUGACCUAUAUCUUUUACCCUUUUUAGGGUGAAAAAGUACAACCAUUAGUUAAUGUGAAAACAAUUAUGCCAAAAAGUGGUUUGCCGUAUAAACAAGUAUGUGAUGUUCUCAACA